GAAAUGCGAUACGUAAUGCGAAUUGCAGAACUCAGUGAAUCAUCAAAUCUUUGAACGCAAAUUGCGCUUUCGGGAUAGGCCUGAAAGCACGCCUCUUUGAGUAUCGAUUCAACCUCCGCUCGACGGCGUUUGUAAACGCGCAGUUGGCUGAGAUUGAGUUUCGCAGUUUUGCACAUAACUGCGUGACUUGAAGCCUCGACAGUUUAUGUUCAUUCCCAAGGACUGAAACCUGUCGACCGAGAGCAAUGCGGUUAGUUUUGCCUUUGGGCGAAUCAUCAGCAUUAGUUCAAAGUCGAAUUGGGGUGUCUGCAACCGGAGUGAACGAUUCCUUUCGCUUUGCAAGCGAAAGGAAUACCAACUUUGAUUAAGAUCUCAAAUGAAGCGAGGAAACCCGCCGAAC
rnacentral:misc_RNA from 1 species